AGAGAGAGAGAGAGAGAGAGAGAGAGAGAGAGAGAGAGAGAGAGAGCGCUAGUUAAAUGUGAGUACAGCAUGUGAAAGUGUUUACUUAAUUGUACCUGAAAUACUCUCAAUUGUAUACAACUCGACACCAUUUAUAAAAUAAUUGCACC
rnacentral:misc_RNA from 1 species